rnacentral:lncRNA from 1 species
AUGAGAAGUUUAAAUAAAUUAUUAAUAGAAAUUCAGAAAACAGACGCAAUUACAUUAGGAAUCUGAAAAGAUUUAUGGAAGACUUUGCAUUUUGGCUUUAAGUGUAAUGGAAGUUCAGGGAUAACAGAUGUAAAGAACAAUGUCUAAUUCUAGGGCUGAGAGAAUACCUAAGGAAGGAGCAAACUUGGAAGAGCUUCUCUCACCAAGGCUGAGAUCCAGACUUCUUUGAGGAGUGUGGCUGUGCCCAAUGGAUGGUGAAGUUUACUGAGUGCUGCAGGCAGUAACUAUAAAGCUGGAAGCCACUCACUGGGGACUUGCUGAGAAGCUGCCCACUGGGGUGCUGGCAAGACUCACUGGAAAACUUUCACAGUUGCUCUGGCAAAAGUCUUUGGAAGCGGGUGCACCACUGGGUCUCCUCAAGCCAGUGGUAGGAGAGCUGCAGUGAGUUGUUGGAGCAAGAUAUACGGCAACUGAACAAGGAGGAGAAACUCUCUUCUCUUGCAGUGUCCUCUAUUCUCCCACAUAUUCUACUGACAAUGGCUGACUCACAAAGAGGAACACUUACAGGAUCCUACACCAGGGCAAAAACAGUGGAUUUGGAGCUAAGAGGCAAUAUAUCAAUAUAAUUCACACAGUGGCAAUGUAUGUGUAUGUAUCUCAAGAUUAUGAAGAGUUGCCCAUUUUCCUCUUAUCUUCAGGCUAUAAAGUAUCAGAAUAAAAGUUAUCUGCGGUAGGCUGAAUAUGCAUAAUUUCUAAC